CUUUCUCUUCUUCUUUCACUGUAACAGCCUCACCCUCCACUUGUUGUUUUACUGUAACAUCCUCCUCCUCCUCUUUCACAACAAUGUUCAGCCCCAGAGCUUCUUCCUCCGUCCAGCAGACUUCCUCUUCUUUAACAGGAGGGGAGUAGUUUAGGGAGCUCAUGUUCGGGGAUGUUAGCUAGCUAUCAUUAGCGACUAGGCUAGUGCUAACUUAACCAGCCAGCUACUAUAGCUGACUAAUACAAAAUAACGUAAUAUGAAAUUAAAUAGGUUAACAAGUAGAUACGACAGAUGUGUGCCUAAAACACAGCAGCUAAUAUACACCGAAAGCGUAUAAAUAGCUUGAAUCUUUCGGCUAUGUUGGCUAGCAAGCUACCGAGGUGGUUGACGAGCUGUUUCUGAAGAACCGUCCACUGGCAGCGUCGCCUGAAAGACGCACAUCGCGGUCUGCUGACUGGAGGGGAAACGCAGUUGAGUUCCUCUUGUCCAGAUACCUUGUAACUGGAGAUUCCUUCAAAACGAUUUCCUACAGGUCAUCUGGGGCUGCCUCCUGGAGGAAUUCAGGUGUGUGAAGGCUACCUGUGUCCUGCGUAACUUCAUGAGGAUGGACACGAGGACCAGGAGGGGAUCUGCAGCUCGCCGCCGUGUCCCAGAGGAGGAGUCUGCUGCUCUGCACGAUGUUUCACGGAUGGGGUCCAACAACGCAGCAAGAGAGGCAUUCUGUGUGCAGGAGAUCUUCACCUCCUACUUCUUCAAAGAGGGUGCUGUUCCCUGGCAACACCUUAGACUACACUAUGCACAACCAAAGGCUCUUUUAAGAGCCAUUCACAUUGCAAUAAGAGUAUUCUUCCAUUUACUUAGCUAUGUCAACUGCAGUUAUUAAAUUCACAGUUUCUCUCCCUAGGUAGGGUGCUGUUUAGGUAAGGCUGUGAUGUCUGUCAGUGCAAAAAACAAAACAGGCUAUUUUAAAAUCACCCAUAUUGAAAAAAUGUAGAACAAUUAGACAACCUAUAACCUACACACUCAUGUAUCAAUCUGAUUGAUGGAUUGUGUUGUGCAGUAAGCAGGUUCAGAUGUAUAACUGUGGCUCCUUCCACCUUCAAAGAAUAGGCAAGAGGGCCAACCAUGGAGAAUAGUAAGACACUUCAUUAUUUCUAUAACUACGCUAUAUUGUUUGUCCUUGUGCGUCCGUUCAUGUUUUUCAGUAUAAAAGUACUCUGCAGCCACUUAGUGUGGUGUGGACACCAGGUGAGGCCACACACAGAUUCCUGUCGAACACUGUAGCUUUAACUACCUUAUUUUCUCAAUAACAGUCUCUCUCCUUCACUUCAUCCCUCUCUCCCCUUCUCCCUAAAUCCUCUAGGUUAUAUCAGCUGUGUCUGUGAACCCCUCCUGCAUCUGAACUGGCUACAUAGAGGAUACAGCAUGAUCAGAUGUGAGAGGUCACUUGGUCAGGUCAACAGGAAGUAUUAUUAAAGAGAUGCUUUACAUUGAAAUACAGAUAGAGAUGCAGUAGUCCCAGAGUAAAUGAUCCAAGGUCAGUUUAUAUUAUACAGGAAGUAUUAUUAAAGAGAUGCUUUACAUUGAAAUACAGAUAUAGAUGCAGUAGUCCCAGAGUUAAUGGUCCAAGGUCAGUUUUGCAUUUCACCUCCUGAUUGAUGACUAACAAUGUUAGAAUAAAAAAUAAAAACACAAGGCUUAAACAUGCUCUCUCUCUCCAUCUGUUUCUCGUCUGCAGGUAUGUUUUGAUGUGAGAGGAUGCCAACCCCCAGUCCCAUCAUCGCCACCUCACCUGCUUUUAAGAUAAUAGUGUCUCUCAUCAGCCCAAAGGUUAUGUAAUUGUGAUGAACUGAGAGAAUAUUUAGGUAGCACUGUGAUUCAUUAAUCAUGUGCUGCCUUCCCUGCUCCUAUGUUCUUACCUCUUUCCCUUUCUGUAUUUUACACCUCUCCUUCCACCUCCUCUGUUCAUAUAAUUCAUAACAGAUGUGCAUUGAAGUACAGUUUGAACUUGUCUUUAUAACAUUUGGAUAAUGAGCUUUUCAAUAAAGCGUUUCACAUUCUCUA